CUGANCUUCGGGGGACGAUAACGGCGUCGAGCGGCGGACGGGUGAGUAAUGCCUAGGAAAUUGCCCUGAUGUGGGGGAUAACCAUUGGAAACGAUGGCUAAUACCGCAUGAUGCCUACGGGCCAAAGAGGGGGACCUUCGGGCCUCUCGCGUCAGGAUAUGCCUAGGUGGGAUUAGCUAGUUGGUGAGGUAAGGGCUCACCAAGGCGACGAUCCCUAGCUGGUCUGAGAGGAUGAUCAGCCACACUGGAACUGAGACACGGUCCAGACUCCUACGGGAGGCAGCAGUGGGGAAUAUUGCACAAUGGGCGCAAGCCUGAUGCAGCCAUGCCGCGUGUGUGAAGAAGGCCUUCGGGUUGUAAAGCACUUUCAGUCGUGAGGAAGGUGGUGUAGUUAAUAGCUGCAUUAUUUGACGUUAGCGACAGAAGAAGCACCGGCUAACUCCGUGCCAGCAGCCGCGGUAAUACGGAGGGUGCGAGCGUUAAUCGGAAUUACUGGGCGUAAAGCGCAUGCAGGUGGUUUGUUAAGUCAGAUGUGAAAGCCCGGGGCUCAACCUCGGAAUAGCAUUUGAAACUGGCAGACUAGAGUACUGUAGAGGGGGGUAGAAUUUCAGGUGUAGCGGUGAAAUGCGUAGAGAUCUGAAGGAAUACCGGUGGCGAAGGCGGCCCCCUGGACAGAUACUGACACUCAGAUGCGAAAGCGUGGGGAGCAAACAGGAUUAGAUACCCUGGUAGUCCACGCCGUAAACGAUGUCUACUUGGAGGUUGUGGCCUUGAGCCGUGGCUUUCGGAGCUAACGCGUUAAGUAGACCGCCUGGGGAGUACGGUCGCAAGAUUAAAACUCAAAUGAAUUGACGGGGCCCGCACAAGCGGUGGAGCAUGUGGUUUAAUUCGAUGCAACGCGAAGAACCUUACCUACUCUUGACAUCCAGAGACUUUCCAGAGA
rnacentral:rRNA from 1 species